rnacentral:rRNA from 1 species
GCUCAGAUUGAACGCUGGCGGCAGGCCUAACACAUGCAAGUCGAACGGUAACAGGAAGCAGCUUGCUGCUUUGCUGACGAGUGGCGGACGGGUGAGUAAUGUCUGGGAAACUGCCUGAUGGAGGGGGAUAACUACUGGAAACGGUAGCUAAUACCGCAUAACGUCGCAAGACCAAAGAGGGGGACCUUCGGGCCUCUUGCCAUCGGAUGUGCCCAGAUGGGAUUAGCUAGUAGGUGGGGUAAAGGCUCACCUAGGCGACGAUCCCUAGCUGGUUUGAGAGGAUGACCAGCCACACUGGAACUGAGACACGGUCCAGACUCCUACGGGAGGCAGCAGUGGGGAAUAUUGCACAAUGGGCGCAAGCCUGAUGCAGCCAUGCCGCGUGUAUGAAGAAGGCCUUCGGGUUGUAAAGUACUUUCAGCGGGGAGGAAGGGAGUAAAGUUAAUACCUUGCUCAUUGACGUACCCGCAGAA